UCCCCGCACCCCUCCAGCCUCAUCCUCCUUGGUCUCCUCCUACCUCACCACUCAUUCUUUCUCUGUCUGCAGCCUAAGCAAGCCUGGCUGUGCUUUCUGCCCCGCUGCGCACGAGCCCCUCAGCCUGGGCCCUCCACCGUGACACCCAUACUUCCAAAGGCGCUGAUUCAGCCCACAGUUGUCUUCACCUGUGUUGCUUCCCCAGACUUCCCGCUGGUCUCCCUGCCUCAGUCUCCCUCUCGUUUGAUUGUUCAAGCACAUUUUCCCCAGCACAACCUUAGCGUGCGCCUUCAGUCCCUGAUUUCCCGCCUUCGGUAGCCCCACUUCUCAGGAAGGCUGCCUUUGAGACCUUCCAGCCCACACCAGCUCUCCUGGUUGCCCUGCCACUCAGUGCCUACCCCUAGACUUCUCUCCCAAAGCCAGGAACACCCCCACCCCCGGCAGCUGCAUGCCCUGCCCUUUAACUUGAGGUAAGUCUUUUCCAAGUCCACAAAUGAGGCCAAGGACAGAUGCUCAUCAGGCGAUAACAAAGGAGAGGACGUGGGAGGCCUUCUGUCUCCUGCCCCUUUGCAGCCAACUUAUCUGUUUUCUAGCUCCUUGAUUUUUCUGAGUUGACUGUGUUUUAAAGCUCUGCAUUUAAAAAAAGUUUUUUAAUUGAGGCACAAUUCACAUAACGGAAAAUUAACCAUUUUAAAGUGGAUAACUCAGUGGCAUUUAGCACAGUCACAGUGUUGUGCAAACAUCACUUCUAUCUAGUUCUGAAACAUUUUUACCACCUCAAAAGGAAGCCCUGUCCCCUCUUGCUAAAUUCCUCAUCCCCUUCCCCUCUGCCCCUGGCGACCACUAAUUUGCAUUCGACCACCAAUUUGCAUUCUGUCCUUAUGGAUUCCCCUAUUCCUGACAUUUGAUAUAAAUGGAAUUCUCUAAGAUGUGAUUUUUGAUGUCUAGCCUCUUUCACUCAGCAAAAUAUUUUCAAGGUGCAUCUAAAUGGUAGCAUAUGCCAGUACUUCAUUCCUUUGCGUGGCUGAGUAAUAUUCCAUUGUAUAGAUGGGCCACUUUUUUAACCAUCAUCUGUUGAUAGAUGUUUGGAUUGUUCCCAGCUUCUGGGUAUUAAGGUCUGCCUUCCUGACUGUAGAGGUGCAAAGCAUUUUCAUUUAACGCUGUAUUGUCUGCUUCUCUUCCUUACACACUCCAUCUUGGACCCCCUCACCCCUUGAAUGGCCUCCGAUAGGCCCUUGGACAGAGCAAAUUUUGGUAGCCUUUUCUCUUUUUGGAGCUGUAAGAUUUCUUUUUCUUUUUUUCUUUUUUCUUCAGAUCAAGAUAAACUCCCCAAGUUUCCUUGAUGUCUUCUCAAGAACAAGACAGGGAAGAAGGCAGGUCUUCCAUCCACCUGCCCCAGGUCAUCUCCUCUGGGCCGGUAGUCGGCAUCCCUGCAAGACCCCACCCCCACCCUGUGGGGGUGGGUAAGGUGACUUUCCACAGUGCCAGACCGGUGACAUCCUGGCUCAGAAACACCAGCCACAAGAGGGAGGAAAAUUAUCAUAAAGGAAAAAGUCAACGUCUUUGACAUCAAGGCUUUCCCAAAAAGAGAUCAUGUGCUUUGGUGUAUUGCGAUACGAUUCUGAUUUCCGUGGGGACAGGUGACCAGGAGAGGGCAUGGCAAAGCCUCCAAGAGAACCUACUCCCCGCUGGCAACAAGGUGAGCCUGCACUUCUAGAGGUUUGGCUGCAGGGGCACUAGAAGUGGCAUGGAGACAUGUCUGGGUCUUGUACCCUGGAUGCCAUAGAUGACCUUUCUGGGGAUUUUGCAGAUGGCCAAACCUGUAUGGCCAUGCAUUUAUUCAUUCAUUCACUAAGGAUUUAUUGAGCACCUACUCCUGUGCCGUGCUCACGAAAGGGGCAAUGGGGAGUCACCACAGAGUGCGUACCCUCAGAAUUUAUAGUCUGGCUGAGGAGACAACCUCUCAGCUGUUUAGAACUCUGAAGAGUGCUACAUAGAGGGGAACAUGGUACUCUGAGAAGGUUGGAGGAGCAGGGGCAAGAACCAGUCUGGGGUGGGAGAAGGUUAGGGAGAGCUUCCUGGAGAGGCGAAACUUGGACAGGACCUUGAUGUCCAGGUGGCAGACGAGUAUGUGGAAUGUUCGGGCAGUGGGAACAGUACGUGCAAAGGACUUGGGGUGAGAACUCAGCUUCCCUGAGGGACUGAAGAGGGUCAGGAAGGUGGCAGGCUACAGAGGUGUUAGUGAGGUUGGGGAGGUGGGCAGGGCCUAGUGGCUGUGGUAAUGACUUUGACCUUACCCAAAUGCCAAUGGGAAGCCUGGGAAGUGGGACUAGGCUGUACCAGACAAGCCUCUCUAGAGGGGCUGCAAUGGUAACAAAGCGAUUUUGCAAGUGGCUCUGCUUCCCCCUCCCUCCUUGCCUUCCUCCUUCUCUGGUGAUUUCUAGCCAGUCCUGCUAUUCUCUAAACUGGUCCUGUGGGGUCCUGCUUGCGUGUGGCCUCAUGCAGUUAUCUGACAGCGGAAUUUUAGUUUCUCUUUUUCUGCAUUCAGCAGAAGCAUUAUCUUUCCAGAUCUACAGAAAUACCGACCUCCUGUGCCUCUGGCAGCUGCCUCCUGAGGGAGUGGAUCUCCCUUCUCUUUGCUCUGAGAGCCAUUUGUCUUUGUUUUGGUUGAGCCUUUGCUCACUCUCAGCUGUGCAACCUUCCACCAAAUACCCUGCCGCUCAGACUUCAGUUUCCCUAUCUACUCAGAUGGAGAUGACGAUUUCUGCCCCGUAAGAUGGUUGCGAGGAUUCAGUGAGCUCACCCACGUGAAAUGCUUGAAACUGGGCUCAGCGCACAGAAGAGCUCCAGAAACGUGCUGGUUAUCACCACUUGGCUCACGCCUGGGCCCCAAACAUUUUUGGCAAGAACGUGAUGUUUCAAAAUAGACAUUGUAUGUUGUCAUCAUGAGAAAAGUCGGGACUACCUGGACUUCCUGAUCCUUGGCUAAUGUUUAACGUUAUUUUAUUUACAGUGACUUCUCAAGUACUUAGAGCUAAGGGGCGCCAUGGGGUUUGUAGAGUUGUGGGUCCAUCUGUGGUCAUCUCACCUGUCCCCUCACCUCACAGAGAGGACCCUGGGCUCAGAGCGGGUGGCCAGGUGGUAGUGAGGGGAUAGGGAUUGUUCUAGGCCACUCAGAGAGUAGACAGCAGGGCAGCCCCUUAUCUCCUGGUCAUUCCACCUCAGGGGAGACACGUUAACCUCUAUCUGCUUUCUCCUUGACUUGGGGGUUCUUUGCAGGGGGUCUAGUCUAGGUGAGACAGAGGGUAGUAAGAAGUUCUUGCACAGAAGUGAGUUCUUUCUCUCUCUCUGCUGCACUUCCCUGAAUAGGUGUUUGGGCCCCUUGGGAGAGGGGUCAGUUAUCCCGUUUGGGGGAGCCACUGGGAGCAGAGGGACAGGGCUUCCCACAGCUGUGGACAGGCCCCAGAAGCACCGUGUAGCAGGUCUCGAAGCAAAGGAUCCCCCAGCCCAGGGUGACCUCGCUGACCUUAUGGGUAGAGCCUUGCUCACCCUGGGCUUAUGUAACAUCUUUCCCAACUGUCCUCAAAGCCACCCUGUGACAUAAGGACACGUGAGCCUUCGUCCGCCCCAGUGGCUGGCGGGUAAGAGUUUAUCAAGCAUCUGCUAAGGGCCAGGCACUUCGGGCAUGAUUCCACCAAAUUAUGCUGACCAUCCUGCAAGGCAGCAUUUGCCACGGCAUUUUUAAAAAUCAAGAUAAAAUCACAUACCAUCGAAUGCAUCAUUUUAAAGUGCAUAAUACGUGGUUUUUAGUGUAUUCACAAGAUUGUGCAACCAUCACCACUACCCAAUUCAAAAACAUUUCAUCACCGCAAAAGAAACUCUGUCAUUCCUCAUCCCCAGACCCCCCAGAACCCCCAGACCCUGACAACUGCUAAUCUACUUUUUGUCUCUAUGGAUUUACUAUUCUGGACAUUUCAUACCAAGGGAAUCAGAAAAUAACUGGCCUUCUGUGACUGGCUACUUUCACUUAGCAUAACGUUUUUGAGGUUCAUCCUCAUUGUAGUACGCAUCAGUACCUCCUUUUCAUGGCUGAAUAAGGUUCUAUUGUAU